rnacentral:rRNA from 1 species
CCUACGGGCGGCUGCAGUGAGGAAUAUUGGUCAAUGGGCGGGAGCCUGAACCAGCCAAGCCGCGUGAGGGAAGAAGGUACAGCGUAUCGUAAACCUCUUUUGUCAGGGAACAAAGGCGGGGACUAGUCCCCGGAUGAGGGUACCUGAAGAAAAAGCAUCGGCUAACUCCGUGCCAGCAGCCGCGGUAAUACGGAGGAUGCGAGCGUUAUCCGGAUUUAUGGGGUUUAAAGGGUGCGCAGGCGGCCUGUUAAGUCAGCGGUAAAAGCCCGGGGCUCAACCCCGGCGAGCCGUUGAAACUGGCGGGCUGGAGUUGGAGAGAAGUACGCGGAAUGCGCGGUGUAGCGGUGAAAUGCGUAGAUAUCGCGCAGAACCCCGGUUGCGAAGGCAGCGUACCGGCUCCACACUGACGCUGAGGCACGAAAGCGUGGGUAUCGAACAGGAUUAGAUACCCUUGUAGUC